rnacentral:rRNA from 1 species
GGGAUAACAUUUGGAAACAGAUGCUAAUACCGCAUAGAUCCAAGAACCGCAUGGUUCUUGGCUGAAAGAUGGCGUAAGCUAUCGCUUUUGGAUGGACCCGCGGCGUAUUAGCUAGUUGGUGAGGUAACGGCUCACCAAGGCGAUGAUACGUAGCCGAACUGAGAGGUUGAUCGGCCACAUUGGGACUGAGACACGGCCCAAACUCCUACGGGAGGCAGCAGUAGGGAAUCUUCCACAAUGGACGCAAGUCUGAUG